UGCACCGGAGGCUCUUGGCAGACCUGGACUGUUUCAGAAAUGCAUUCUUGGGCCCCACACCAGACAGGCCUAGUCGGGAACUCUGGGGAACGCAGCACUCUGGCCUCUAACAGCCAAGCCUUCUGGGUGAUUCUGACACAUAUCGAAUCUGGGAAUCACUAGGCCUCUGCCUUGUCUUCAGACUGGGAGUGACUAAGACCAGAAAGCCAACCGCCUGCCCUCCAACCGCCUGCCCUCCAACCGCCAGCCCUCCAACCGCCAGCCCUCCAACCGCCUGCCCUCCAAUAGCCAGCCCUCCAACCGCCUGCCCUCCAAUCGCCAGCCCUCCCGGCUUCCAUCUCCUCCCAGCUACCUGCAGUGCCACCAGGUUUAUCACCUUAGAGCAUCCACAGCCACAGUUACCCAGAGAGAAGAGAAGGAGGAGACACAGGGCUUGGGGACGAAGGCAUUCAAACAGGCAGGUCCUCCCACGGGAAUCCCAUGACGGCCGACUCCACGACCACUUCCCCAGCAUGACUAGAUUUCCUGCAGCUUCGAAAUGCAAACAUUGCCUCAGACAAAAGCUAAAAUUGUUACAGUCAGAACCGAAACCACGAGUGAGAAGGGGCUCUGCUCCCAGUACCCACAGCCACGGGGAGCCACCGACCAGCAUGUCUUACCAUUGUUCACCUGGCCGUGGACCGCAGUGGGGACUGAUGCCACAGGCUGGGUCUAUCCUCCAGAACGAGCCUUUGCCUGGUUCUUCCUGGGAACGCGGCACUUUGAUGAAAUAACGAUUCAGAGAGAGAUUGU
rnacentral:lncRNA from 1 species